GAAUAUGGUUAGAAAUUUUAAAACAACAGUAAAAAGUUUAGGUUUCCGUAUAUAGAGCGUUUAACGUAAAACUCAAUAUUUUCGUAGGGGUUACCACAUAGGUUUUGAGAAACAUUUAAAAAAUAUAACAAUAUUUCUUUAAUGCAUUUUUGCUUUUUAUACUAAUAUAUGAUGAUGAUCAAAAAGGUUUGAAACCUUUGUUGUCUCCAUUUCUCUAAAGAAUAGUGAUUAUAUAAUGGUUAGUCCACUAAUUUAGGGAAUAUGUGAAGUUUUACUAAAUUAAGUUAUAAAAAAUAUUGAACGAUGAUCAUGCACCAUGAAAGAGAGUUUAGCAUACAUUAACAAAAAUGUAGAAUGUGGCUAGAAAUUUAAAACAACACUAAAGAUUAUAGGGUUCAGUAUAUAAUGCAUUUACCAAAAUUCAUUAUUUUGUAGGGGUUAACACAUAGAUUUUAAAAAAAAUUCAAAAAAUACAACAAUAUUGUUUAAUGCAUAGUUGCCUCAUGUACUAAUAUAUUAUGAUGGUCAAAGAGGUUUGGGACCAUUGUUAUCUGCAUUUCUCUAGAGAAUAACGAUUUUUUAAUGGUUAGUCCACUAAUUUAUGAAGAAUAUGAAGUUUUACUAAAUUAACUUGUAAAAACUAUUGAACGAUGAUCAUGCACCAUUAAAGAGAGUUUAGCAUACAUUAAUACAAAUGUAGAAUGUGGUUAGAAUUUUAAAACACCACUAAAGAUUAUAGGGUUCAGUAUAUAAAGGAUUUACAAAAAUUAAUUAUUUUUGUAGGGGUUAACACAUAGAUUUUGAGAAAAAUUCAAAAAAUAUAACAAUAUUGCUUUAAUGCAUAGUUACCUUCUGUACUAAUAUAUGAUGAUGGCCAAAGGGGUUUGAAACUUUUAUUGUCUUCAUUUCUCUAGAAAAUAGCGAUUUUAUAAUGGUUAAUUCACUAAUUUAGGGAAUAUAUGAAAUUUUACUAAAUUAAUUUAUAAAAAAAAUAAAUGAUGCUCAUGUACCAUGAAAGAAAGUUUAGUAUACAUUAAUACAAAUGUAGAAUGUGGCUAGAAAUUUUAAAACAACACUAAAGAUUAUAGGGUUCAAUAUAUAAAACAUUUACCAAAAUUCAUUAUUCUUAUAGGGGUUAACACAUAUAUUUUGAGAAAAUUUCAAAAAAUAUGACAAUAUUGUAUUAAUGCAUAGUUGCAUCAUUCACUAACAUAUUAUGAUGUUGAAAGAGGUUUGAGCCUCUGUUGUCUCCGUUUUUCAAGAAAAUAGCUAUUUUAUUGUGGUUAUUCCACCCAUUUUUGGAGUAUUAUGAAGUUUUACUAAAUUAAUUAACUAAAAAAAUUAUAAUGAUUCUCAUAUACCAUGAAAGAGAGUUUAACAUACAUUAAUACAAAUGUAGAAAAUGGUUAGAAAUUUUAAUACAACACUAAAAUGUUUAAGCUUCAAUAUAUAGAGCGUUUAACGUAAAACUCAAUAUAUUUGUAGGGGUUACCACAUAGAUUUUGAGAAAAAUU